GAAUGUUACAUAGUACGUGCAUAAGCAAAAAUGGAAAUGCCACAGAACGAUUAGCAAGGUCCCUGCAUAAGGAUGGCAUGCAAAUCUGUGAAGAGUUCCUUAUUUAA
rnacentral:snRNA from 1 species